AAGAGAGAGAAAUAGAAAGGUGUGUGCGCUUCAACCGACUCAGUGUCUCUCUCUCUCUCUCUCUCUCUCUCUCUCUGUUGCUAUUUGAGGUUUUUUCCUUUGCCUCGG
rnacentral:sRNA from 1 species